rnacentral:rRNA from 1 species
UACGGAGGGGGCUAGCGUUGUUCGGAAUUACUGGGCGUAAAGCGUACGUAGGCGGUGACUCAAGUCAGAGGUGAAAGCCCGGAGCUCAACUCCGGAAUAGCCUUUGAUACUGAGGGUCUUGAGUAUGGGAGAGGUAAGUGGAAUUCCGAGUGUAGAGGUGAAAUGCGCAGAUAUCAGGAGGAACACCAACGGCGAAGGCAGCUCGCUGGGACGGUACUGACGCUAAGGCGCGAAAGCGUGGGGAGCGAACAGG